rnacentral:lncRNA from 1 species
UCUAAUGGCUCAAACACCUAAUGGAAAAAUCCAUGUUGAAUGGACUAUAUGAGCGCUAUUGGCACUCUUUGAGGCAUUAUUCAGCACUAGUAGGAACACAAAGUGCAAUCAAUGAAAAGAGAGAUUAAACAAAGCUAUCCGCUCUCCAUUCAAUUAAUCUCGUGCGUUGAUCCUUGGACGGCUACAACUUUUCCACUUUUUAACCUUUAGUCCU